rnacentral:misc_RNA from 1 species
GAGGAGGAGUUCGAUCGGAUGGCUGAAGCUGAGCUUCAACAACUCCUUGACAAGUCUGAGAAGGCUCGCAAGAUGGGCAGUUUGAUGGAGAAGGCUGCUGCGGUUGCUUCCAAGAGGUACAUGGAGGCAGCCAUGAAUUCCGCCACCGCUUCCAUGAGAUCCGCUUGGAAGGCUAUUUCCUCUAAUAAGGUUCAUCCUUCUUGAAGCCGCUUGCUAUUUCUCU